UGGUGGUAGCUCAGCAUU
rnacentral:misc_RNA from 1 species